rnacentral:rRNA from 1 species
UUAGGAAUAUUGGACAAUGGGCGCAAGCCUGAUCCAGCCAUGCCGCGUGAGUGAUGAAGGCCUUCGGGUUGUAAAGCUCUUUAGUCCACGAAUAUAAUGACUGUAGUGGAAGAAUAAGCCCCGGCUAACUUCGUGCCAGCAGCCGCGGUAAUACGAGGGGGGCGAGCGUUGUUCGGAAUCACUGGGCGUAAAGAGUGCGUAGGCGGCUCUGACAGUUAGAAGUGAAAGCCCUGGGCUCAACCCAGGAAUUGCUUUUAAUACUACAGAGCUCGAAUUCGGGAGAGGAUAGCGGAAUUGUCAGUGUAGCAGUGAAAUGCGUAGAUAUUGACAGGAACACCGGUGGCGUAAGCGGCUAUCUGGACCGACAUUGACGCUGAGGCACGAAAGCGUGGGGAUCAAACAGGAUUAGAUACCCGUGUAGUCC